rnacentral:rRNA from 1 species
AUUGAACGCUGGCGGCAUGCUUUACACAUGCAAGUCGAACGGCAGCGCGGAGAAGCUUGCUUCUCUGUCGGCGAGUGGCUAACGGGUGAGUAUAGCAUCGGAACGUGCCAAGUAGUGGGGGAUAACCAAACGAAAGUUUGGCUAAUACCGCGUAAGCUCUAAGGAGGAAAGUAGGGGACCUAAAUAAGGCCUUACGCUAUUUGAUCGGCCGAUGUCGGAUUAGCUAGUUGGUGGGGUAAUGGCUCACCAAGGCAAUGAUCCGUAGCGGGUCUGAGAGGACGAUCCGCCACACUGGGACUGAGAAACGGCCCAGACUCCUACGGGAGGCAGCAGUGGGGAAUUUUGGACAAUGGGGGAAACCCUGAUCCAGCCAUGCCGCGUGUAUGAAGAAGGCCUUAGGGUUGUAAAGUACUUUUGUUAGGGAAGAAAAGCUAGUUUUUAAUAAAAAUUAGUGAUGACGGUACCUAAAGAAUAAGCACCGGCUAACUACGUG